rnacentral:pre_miRNA from 1 species
UGGAGAAGCAGGGCACGUGCAAUACUAACUCACACACAAACAAGACGUUUUCAGACACCUUCACACGCGUGAAAGAGUUAGUUCUUCAUGUGCCCAUCUUCGCCA